rnacentral:lncRNA from 1 species
GUCGGGAGUGGAACGAGCACGAUUUCAGACGAUCCCCUCCACCACGUCCUCCUCAUCGCCCCCGCCGCUGCGCCUCCCCUCCCCGAGAUCCUCCCCGAGGCCGGGCUCUGCGGGGGGAGGCUCUGCCGCUUUUGGGAGAGGCAUGGAGGAGAGAUGUGGGAAGGGGAAGAAGGAACCUACGGGCGCAUCCCAAGCGUCUGACUCUGAGAUGAGCGCGUUCACGUACAUUUGGCUCAUCGGAUCCUCGCAAAAAGGCCUGUGACAAUGACGUUAUUAUUCUACAUUUACAGAUGAGGAAACUGAGACUCCAAGAACUAAAGCACUUACUCUCUACUAAGCAGUGGAUGAAAAUCCUUGGAAGGACACAUAAGAGGUGGAAGACGGGGCCUCUACCCUCAAAAAACCCACAUGAGAAGUAAAACGAAAUGCGAGGCCGUGUAAGACUGUACGUAAUUAAGGACCCAACUGUAGUAACAACUACAUAUGGAGAUACCAUCAAGAAAAAAACAGGUGCAGUUACAGUGGAAGACAGCUGUCCAUGAGGAAGCAGACUCUCUCUCUGCCGGCACCCUGAUCUUGGACUUCCCAG